rnacentral:tRNA from 1 species
CCCUCGAUGGCUCAGUCGGAUAGAGCAUCUGCCAUGUAAGCAGGAGAUCCCGGGUUCGAGUCCCGGCUGGGGUA